AAGCCUUGGUUCUCCGAUCUUCAUUUACACCAAAAAAUGUUUCGCCUUUUACUAAAGAUUUUCCGUGUAGGAGAACAAAAAAUGGGCCUAAGGAUAUUUUUUGUCGCCCUCCGGAUUUUCCUGGCGG